AGAGAGAGACAUGCGCGCAUAUCAAUAAGCGGAGGAAAAGAAACUAACAAGGAUUCCCUUAGUAACGGCGAGUGAAGCGGGAAGAGCUCAAAUUUGAAAUCUUCAAGGUUUUACCUUGACGAAUUGUAGUUUAAAGAAGUGUUUUCUGCUGAAGUUUUGGUAAAAGUUCUUUGGAAUAGGACAUCAUAGAGGGUGAGAAUCCCGUAUUUGACCAUUAUUUUCAGCUUUGUGAUGACACUUUCAAAGAGUCGGAUUGUUUGGGAAUGCAGUCCAAAAUGGGUGGUAAAUUUCAUCUAAAGCUAAAUAUUGGCGAGAGACCGAUAGCGAACAAGUACCGUGAGGGAAAGAUGAAAAGAACUUUGAAAAGAGAGUUAAACAGUACGUGAAAUUGUCAAAAGGGAAGCGUUUGACACCAGUGUUGUUUUCUCGAAAAUCAAUUAAAAAUGGCUCGAUUUUGUAUUGCUUGAGACCUUAAAAGCUCACUGUACAUUUUUCGUGUCUUUUUUAAUGCACUUUUCAUUUAACAAGUCAACAUCAGUUUCUUUUGUUGUAAAAGGGUCAUUGGAAGGUGGCUUUCUUUUCGGAGAAAGUGUUUAUAGCCUUUGGCCUCUGCAAUCGAAGAGACUGAGGUCUGCAGCGUAGACUCUUCGGGGUUAGAUACAUUUGUGCUAAGUUAUAGCUUUUUAUAGACAACUUGUUGACUAUAAUUAGUCUUGUAGCUUACUCGCUUAUGCUAUUUUACCUACGCUUAGGAUGUUGAGUCGUAGAGCACGCAG
rnacentral:rRNA from 1 species